GAAAGGGACCUACACUUCUUGAUAAGAGUCCUGCCACUCUUCACAAAUGGGAAGUCAAUACUUCUAAUGCAAGAAUGUGGAGAAAUGGUUAAAAUUUCUGAUUCAUGGACAUUCCGUGCAAUAAAGCCAUAAAAUAUUUGGAGAAAGUCCCAUUUUCUUCUUUCUACCGUGAAAGACCAACUCAAGAUGAUUGCCGAGUGGCAAGAGGAGUCUUGUGAGGUAAUUCACCAUGUCCUCAAUCCUAGAAGAGCAGAAUUCCAAGUGAGGUCCCCUGGAUACUAAAAUCCGUUGACUUGUCUCUCCUUUUAAGAACUCCCACUGCUAGGAGCUAACCUGAUUUGAUAGAAUUUAUCCUCCAGGAAUAUAGAAUAGCAGGUGAAAGCACAGUGCCCUAGCAUUCAAGAAGCUGAGCUGCAGUCCUUUUGUCAACAGUAAUGUUACAACUUUGGAUAACUUCAGCUCUCUGGGCCUAUUUCCCAAAUAAAGGAGUUGGUCCAAGAUUUGUGAUUUUCAAACCUUGCUCUGUACAAAUCUGGGUGCUAUAGGUGGUCCCUCAGGUACUGCUUGGAGGAACAGGACUUAGGUGCCUGGUGGGCAGGAUACAAGUUCUGCUACGCCCUUUCAGCCAGGAUAUCAGCCAUGUUGACCUAUAUGUGUGCUGGACUUCUGGGAAGGUUUUGAUUUGAAAAGCUUCCACUACUUAAAACUGUUUGAAAACCAAUAAUCAAAACAGUGGUUUCUGUAACCUACACAUGGAGGUUUAACAUUUUACUCUCUCACUUGGAUUUUAACAGACCUUCCCAAAACUUAAUCAUUUAAAAAUUUAAAAUUUAAAAUCAUUUAAAAAAAUAAUGAUUGAUAGAAUUUCAGUUGGAAAGGGAAAUAUCAUUAUCAUAAAAACAACCUGGCAGCAUAUUCUUCCUUAAUUUUUCACUCCAAACCAUGCCCACAUACUUCUGGGCCUCUGACCUACUCUUGCUGCUUCUAGGAAAGAAAAAUUAUAGUAGAAACAUCAUAAAUCUAUUUAUCCAGUUUCCUCUGGGUAAAGGAUAAUAAAUUUUUACUUAUUUGCCCAGGAACAAGGGUUCACAGUUCAGUGCCCAGUCCACAUUCAGAUGGUCAAAAAUUUUAUCCAUCAUGCGCCAGGAACUAUUCUAGUCUGUAGUCAUAAAGUGGUCACAAAGGCAAAUGAAUUCUCUGCCAUGAAAGAAUUUACGUUAUAAGAAAGAAUAAUGUAGAUAUAAAAUAAUUCCGACCUGCUCAAGUAGUAUAAACAAAGUAUAUAAUGUUAUGUAAUGCACAAUGAUGGCAUGAUGGUGAUGGAGGUGACAAGUAGAGUUAGAGAAGACCUCUCGGGAAAGCACUUCAAGUAAGAUCAAAAUACUGGAAAUGAGGCAUCCAUGAGAGAAAGUAGGGACAGAAAAAAUGACAAUUGCAAAACCCAUGAGACAUAAUGGAGCUGGGUUUAUUUAAGGAACAGGGAUCAUUAUGCCUGGAGUAUUGGCAAUGCAGGAAAUAUGGAGGGAGAAGUUACAGAGGAAAGCAGGAGCCCGAUCAUGUAUGGCCUCUGUAGCCUUUGGCAAGGAGUUUGAAUUUUAUUCUGAUUACAAUUGGAAGGCAGUAGAGGGAUGGAAAAAUAGAGAGAAGGAGCAAUAGAGCAAGAAAAUAGAGGGUAAGGGAGGGAAGGACUGGUUACCUUAACUCGGGCAUCACCAUAGACUGUUCCAGUUGCUAAGGUCAGAAUGAACAAGAGUUGUGAAACCAUGGAAACCUGGAACAGCACGUGUUGUUUUCUAUUAAUAAAGUGAUUUUCCACAAUCAUUCUUCAAGUGAAGUGAGAAUGGAUAAGAGGUAUUGGAGGUCAUGUUAAAGGGCAGAUUUUUAAAGAGAACACACAGAGGACUAUAAUUUUAGAACAGAGACUAAAAAUUAGAAUGAGACCUAGAGAUUUUUUUUUACGAAAAGAAAGAGAAAUAUGUUUGUAACAUAUAAAUCCUAAGAGAAAUGUAAGCUCAGAUAGGACAAUACAUUCAGAACAGCUCUCAGAAGUUUGCACUUUUGGUUCUUCCAAAAACUGAAUCAUCAUAAAUAUAGAAGUAACUGUUGCUAUGCCUCCUUGACAUUAGAUGUGGUCAUUUCCUGUCUGAGAUGAUUGCCGGGUAUGUACCCAGAAAUGCAAGUUGGUCUUGCAACGGGAUGAAAAGGUAAAAAUGACUGGCACCCAGCCUUUUAGAUAGAAUGAAUUGUUACACAUGGAAAACUACUCCUGAAAGAAACAAAGAGGUGAAUAUUUCCAAGGGAAACCAUUAUCAAGGGGCAAGGGUGUUAAAGAAUAUACUGAGAAGAAACUGAGAAGGAAAGAUUUGCUCUUUUGGAACAUGAACAAUAAUAAUGCUCCAAGUAUCUCCUGGAAAGGGUUUGGCACACUUAGAAAAAUAAGGAAGAAUAAGAUUUGGUCUCUGCCAGAAAGUAUAAGUAAUCCAACUAAAGAGCUGUCAUGGAAACUACUAGCAUGAGUUGGAAACUACAAUUGAAAGAGUCCUGGAUAGUGUGUUCCUGUAAGAUCAACUUGCCUCUGGAGAGUAAUAAUAAAAGACUGCAGAUGCAGUUGUUCAGGUCAUUACAAACUCUAGGAAAUUAACAGAAUUAAACAGGCCGAGGAUCUAUGAUUGAUACCAAAGAGAAUUUUCUGGAUACCCUGAUGGAAAACAGUUGAAAUAAUAGUAUUUCUAUCUUUUGCUAUGAAUCUUCUUAAGAUAAAGUGGACACACGGAGUUUGUAUGGAGACUGAAUGAUUUUAUUUCACAUAUUUCUCCUCAGUGAAAGAAACAGAUUAAAGGAACUACCAAAAACCCUAAGAAGUUUGUACUCUUAAUAUCCCAUCUUACUGAUCACUAAAUUCUGCCUAGAGAGGAGUAGAAAGUUAAGAACCUGUCCAAGAUUCUCAACCCAGUCUAGAAGAAACUUUUAUCAGAUAUUAUACAAACAGGAUCUAGUGAUAAAAGAUAAACAAGUGUGACUCAAAAUAUAAAGAGAUAACAAGAUACUAACAGAAAGUAGGAAGCUGACAAUAAGAAAAACUGUCGAACUUACUCAAAAUGGUGGACUUGGCACAUGCUGUAGCCUUCCCUCUAAAAUAAGUCCACAGAAAUGUCUGGAAGGAGAUUUAUAAAACUUCCUUACCAUGCCAGAAAACAAGAAGAAUUUCCUUCAACAGAGUGUGAGAAAAUCCAAAGACUGAAAUCAAAAGAGAGGAGAUUAAACUAGAAAACUACAGUCCAAAAUGAAUUCAGGACUGGAUUGCCACAAAAGUUUCAUAUACUUGGCUCGGGAGAGAGCCCUGAGAAGAUUGUAGUCUAUUAAGUGUGCAAUAGCAUUAUAUCUAAAAAAAUAAUGUUUAAAUCUUAGCUUAAAAAUAAUUUAUUGCUGGGGCACCUGGGUGGCUCAGUCGGUUAAGCACCCAACUUUGACUCAGGUCAUGAUCUCACAGUUUGUGAGUUUAAGCCCCAUAUCAGGCUCUCUGCUGUCAGUACUGAGCCUGCUUCAGAUCCUCUGUCCCCCUCUCUCUCUGCCCCUCAUCUGCUCUCUCUGUGUCAAAAAUAAACAUUUAAAAAAUAAUCUAUUGGUAAUUUUUCAGUGUAUCAUAAUCAUUGCUCAUAGAUCACCAUAACAAAUAUAAGUUUGAAAUAGUGCAAGAAUUAGCAAAAUGUGACUGACACAAUGUGAGCAAAUGCUGUUGAAAAAAAUGGCAUCAAUAGAUCGUUCAAUGCAGGGUUGCCACAAACUUUCAAUGUUGUUGUAAAACAAAACAACAAAAAUUCAGUAUCUGCAAAGCACGAUUAAGUGAAACAGAAUAAAAGAAGGUAUGUCUAUACAGGGAAGCUACUAGUAGAUCUCACAUUCAAAGAUGAAUACGUAACCAAAAUUACCAGUCAUUUGAAAAAGGUGAAUACUUGAAAGAAAAGACAUCAAGCACAACACAGAGAAGAGAUUUGCACAUUCAGGAAACAGUAUAAUUCAUUUCUGGAAUGACCUGAGAAGAUGUUGCAGCAUGCUUAAAGUUAGCCAGAUGUUUGCUAAACUAAACAUAAGAUAGAUGAAAUAAAAAAAAAACUUGAGGGACACAGUGAAAAUCAAAAUGAAAACCAUACACUGGUAAGGUGAAAUAUUAACUCAGUAAUUCCUCCAGAAUAUAGAAUACACGGAAAAUGAGAUCAAAAUUGUGAAAGGAAAGUUAGUAGAUAUUAGUUCUCAGAUGUAAAGGGUCAUGAGCCAUUAAAACUACCAAGAAAAGAUAAGAUAAAAGAUUUGCAUAAAUUUCAUAAAACCAAGGAUGAAGAGAAAAUUUUAAAAAGUUCCAGAAGGAUAUUAACAUCGAUAUCUGAUAUUUCAUCAGUCACAUUAGAUGCAAGAAGAAAAUAGAACAGCAUCUUCAAAGAUACAAGACAAAUAUUUUUCAUCCUCUCAUCCUAUACCAGAUAGACUUAACUAUUUGUGGAUGCAAAGCAAAAACCUAUUCAGUGUUGUGUUGGCCCUUUCAGAAAGCACUAAAAAAUUUACAAGAAGAGAAAUCAAUUUAGUAGAUAGGAGUAAAUUUUUAGAAGUAAUAUCGGUUAGAGAAGCCAGUUACAAAACAAUAUUGCUAUAAUUGAGAAUUAUUAUAUGUAAGACUUAAGCAUAAAUAUUAGUACAGGUGGUAAUGACAGUAGUGGACAAUAAUUGCUGAGCUUAAACUAAGUACAAAAAAACUGUUCUAAAUACCGUGUAAGUAUUCAUUUAAUCUUCCUAACAAUCCUGUCAGCUAUAUACCUAUAAACCGAUAAUCCUGAGGCACAGAAAAGUUGAAUAACUUGCCAUUUGUCACAGAGCUAGUAGGUGGUAGAGCCAGGAUGUGAACCUAAAAAUAACAGAGAUUCCAGAUGAUAUUAAAUGUAUACUGAAUUAUGUCCCCCCACCAAUUCAUGUUGAAUUCAUGAAUUCAUGUUGAAGUCCCAAGCCCCAGGACUUCAGAAUAUAACCGUAUUUGGAAAUAAUGUCUUUAAAGAGGUUAUUAAGUUACAGUGAGGCACUUUGGGUAGGACCCUAAUC